UUGGCUUGUAUCAUAGUAUCUAUCCUUCCACGGCCAUCCAACAAAACAUCAUCCUGGUCUCCUUGCUUGGAAACUUCAUUACUUGAGUUUGACAAUUUCAAGGGACCAUUCAAACUCACUAAAUCCUCUAAUUCAUCAGGAGGUAUCUGUGACUUCUCAAAGUUAUUUACAUCAGAAUCAAGUAAAGAUACAAAUCCCUUGCUUGAAGUUUGAUAAGUGGUACGCCUACUAGAAGCAUGUGAACCUACAGCGUUAAUACUGAACAGAAGUGACAGAUGAGAUAGGUUCAAACAUAUGAACCUCCGCAAGAGUCCAUAAAGCCUGGAGCUAGCAACUACGCUUCUGAUGUCGGAGUAGAACAUCAGUAUUGGUUUCACCAGAUUGAUUAGGCAAAGCUUCCAUGUCUUGCCGCAAUGAAGGGGACUGGAGCCUUCCUGUCUAUAAAGUUAGGUUAGAAAUGGUGCAAGUAAUAUAUGGAGGAACACCAUAUGAACAAGCAAAAACUUACAUAAGACCUAAUAUGAGGAUGCAUCACAAACCCCAUGACCAUCCCUAGUACACAUGAGAAGACCAGUCCAAGAGCAAGAACCCAAAUGGAAACACCUCCAAAUGCUGCAAAAAUUAGAAUAACAAGAUUUGGUCAACGAUCAAAACACAAUAUAAAAGGGAAAAAAAAGGUAUUGAGCAUGACUAUCUCGUGGUCCUUCUAUCCCUUUGACAAAUUUGGGAGUCCCACUCCAAUUGGUUGAUACUCCCAGCAAUGGUCCUAUAUAAUAACUUUUGUCAUACACCAAAGCAUGAAUUUAGCAUAAAAUGAGUCUCAGCUAAAACCAGACUCUUUUCUUCAAACACUAGAGAAAAAUGUAGUAAAACAGAUUCAUGCAGGACUAAAAAGACUGAAAACUUAAACCAGUUCAUGCCCCUAAGGUUCAUUCAGUAAUAUAGAUAAAUUUGAAUUACAUUCUUUUGACGUUAAAACUAAAAGCAAUUAUGGGAUAAGAGGCUGAAAAUGUUAAUGUUGAAUACCAUGUGUUCGGCAUUGAGAAUACUAAAUAUAUUACAGAGCGGGAUAAAAACACAACUCUAUAAUCAAGUGAACAAACCCAUUCAGCUCCUGGAAACAAAGAACGCACCAGACUGAGAACCUCUAGCACAAUUCUCUGGCUUAAGAUCAAUCUGGCGAACCAGUUGAUUCCCAUGAUCUGAAAUCAGUAACACGCAUAUUUCAGGAACAAAAGACACCUCAAAAUCAUUGGAGAAUGUUGCAUUUUGCGCAGGACCAUCCUGAUGACCAGUCCCUUCGGAGUACCCUCCAGCGAUGGUGGUCACGCCUAGAGAAGUAAAGCAUCCAAAUUAAAGAAAACGACCAAAAACAACACAAACAAACUGCCGAUUUAAGUUCUGAAACCACCACCUUAACCCCAAACAAGUACCUGAGUUGCUUAUCAUUCUUAUAGCACCAUUAUUUCUAUCAGCAACAUAAAUAUUCCCUUUCAGAUCCACUGUAAAGCUCUUUGGUUUAUUGAACCGGGCAGAACCUGCUGCCCCAUCUGAGAACCCAAUGACUCCAUCACCAGAAAACUGCUUAAAAUCACUGUCUGCAAAUUUUCGAAUAAACUAAAAUCUUGAAAAGACAUAUGUAAAGAGCAGAGAUGUGCACAAUUUCUAGCUCUGAAUCAAAAUGAAAAAUUGUAUUGCAAAUAAAAUAAACCAUAACUAUAGGAAUUUAAUUUUUAUCAAAAUUACAAGGGUAAUUUCACAAAUUAGUCCCUAAUAUAUGUCAAAAACCAUAGGUUGUUUAAUCAGUAUCAAUUUAGUCCCUGAAUUUUAAUUCUUCUAACAUAUUAAUCCUUACCAUCUACAUUUAUCAUUGACUUGAUUAACUUCGUGAACUUAUUUUCAAUGUGAAAUAAUUUGAUCCCUAAAAUUUUGUUUUCUUAAAAAAUAGUAUUUACAUUUGAUCUUUUAUAUUUAAAUAAUCAUAUAUUUUAUAAAUAUAUUAAUAUUAUUCAUAAUCAUAAUUAUCUAAACAUAAAAUAGAAAAAAUUAAUUAAGUAAUAAUAUACUUUUAUAGUAAAAGAAAAGUUUUAUUGAAAUAGUAAAAAAUAGUUAAUAACAAACACUAUAUUUUGCUAUAUUUUAAAAGUAUCUAUAUUCUAGUUUAUAAUUUAAAAAAUAUAUAUAUUUUAAUUAUAGUAGUAUUUUUUCAAGGAAAAAAUAAUUAAAUUCUUUUAACAUGAAUUUUAAGAAAAAAAAUUAUGCAAAAAAAGUAUGUCAUUAUAUGAUCUAAUAUAAUUGAUUUUAAGAAUACAUAAUCAUACUUAACUCAUUUGAGUUACAUUCUAAAAACUAUAUUUCAAGUUAAAUGUUCAUUCAUAUUAAUUAUUUGAAAUAUUAAUAAUUUCAUUAAAAUUAAAUUUUCAUUAAAAUAUAGCUUUCGGUGAAUAUUUAGAACUAUAAUUUUAAACUAUGUAUGGUCGAUUAUGUAUUUUCAAAAUAAAUUAUAUCAAAUAAUAUAAAAAUAAAUUUUUUGCAUGAUUUUUUCUUGAAAAUCACACGAUUAUAAUCAUUUAUAUAAUAUAAACUUUAAUAUGAAUAACUAAUUUUCUACACAAACUAAAGACCAAAUGUAAAAAUUUAGCAAAACAUACUAUUUGACAGUAAGUAUUUUUUACCAUUUCACAAGGCAUUCAUUAUCUAAUUAACUACUUUUAGAAAUUUAUAUUUAAAUAACUUAUGAAAUUUGUAAUUACUUAAAUAUAAAACAACUAACUACUUAAAUAUAAAAUUUAAAUGUAGUGACUACACUGUUAAUAAUUAAAACUUCAGGAAUUAAAUUAUUUCGAUAUGAAUUAAAAAUUCACAAAAUUAACAGGGACUCGUCUGUCAUCAAAUUUCAGAGACUGCAGUGUUAGUCUUAAUUAGAGUCAAUACUAACUUAAAUUGCAUAAGUGAUGUAAUUACACACACGCAUAUAUAAACUACUUUCUAAAUUAUAUUACUAUGUAAUUAGAAAUAUAUAAAAUAACAUAUUUAUUGAGAAUUUUAUAUGAUAGAAAAUUAUUUUUAUUAUUAAUUUCUAUUAAAAUUUUAAAAUCAAAACCAAAAUCAUAAAGAAUUACAUAAAAUUUUAUCAAAAACAUAUUUAAAUUUUAGUUAUAAUGUUAUUUCUUAAAAAUCGAAAAAUAAGAAACUCGGUCAAUUUUUAACGAAGAAACUCGAAAAGCGGAACAAAAACAAACACCCUAGUAAAGGUUACGAGAGAAAUUACUCUGAGAAAUGGGUAGAGAUACGGUGUAGAAGACGCUUCCGGAAUAAUCAAGGACUAUGAGAUCGGACGAUCCAGGCCGAGGGAGAACCAUAUGUGGAUUUAAUUUCAGUUUGUGGCCGUCGAUCACGGUGGUCACCUUGUAGCCAUCGUCUAGAAUACGAUCCGCUGACACUGAAAAAAGUCAAGACGACGUUAUUUCAACUCAGAAACAUAAAUUGUGGGGGACGUAAAAGGUUAAUUAUUAGGUUGAGAAGAAUAACCAUGGUUUGAAGCUAGAAGAAAGAAAACGAUGAAGCAGAAAACGAGUAGAAGGGAAGCCAUGGAAGAUUAUCAAAGCUGGAGCAGAACAAUAAGAGGAGACCGAGCUUCUUAAUUUUACUUGCAGAGGAAGGGGGAAAAAGUAGUGCUGCAGUGGUGAAAUGCGGCAUUGGAGGAAAGGGCAUCUCGUCUAGCUUCUGUUCUUUUUCCCCAAAAUUACUGCUUUGCCAGAAAGCUUUACCUGUGCGCUCCGAGAAAGGCCAUCUCGAAACUGGGCCCGGAAUGUUUGCGUUCAUGUUUAUCCAUGUCUUUAUUUUAUUAAAAAAAUAUACAGUAAUUUAUAUUUUAUUUAUGGAUAAUUUUCCGGCAUAUUGCUUGUGAUUUAAUAAAAUUUAUAAUUUAAUUUCUACUUUUUAAUUGUAAAUUUAAUUUUAAAAUUUUAUUUUAUUAAUAAAAUAAAUUUUUUAUUAAUUUAUUAUUAGUCAAAUGUAAUAAAAAAAUUAAUUUCAAUUAAAUAAAUUAAAUUAUUAUAAAUAUUAAAAUUAUAAUAAUUAAAUUAUUAUAAAUGGUUAAACUUAAAUGGGUUGUAUUAUUAUAAAAAGUGAAAUAUAGAGAAUUAAAGGAUUUUCAAAUUUUAGAGAGGAAAGAGAAAAUGACAGAAAAAUUGCGAGAAUAGGCAAAAAAAUAAAAGGAGGUCAUUGAUCUUCGAUCACCUUUGGGAUCUUUUUCAGUUUUUUCUUUUAUUUUCCUGUUUUAAUUUUGUUUUUUUUAGUUUAUUUGUGUUUCUUUUUGCAUUCAAGCAGAGAUUGCCUUCAUCCUUUAUUUUAAUUUAAGAAACUCGAUUUGAAAGAUGAUUUUAGAGUGUGCGAUCCUUUAUUUUGAUUUAAGAAGCUCAAUUUGAAAGAUGAUUUUAGAGUGUUUUAGUUUCUCAAUGUAUUUGGUACUUCGUUUAAAUUUUAAUUCAUGAAAAAUUUAUAAUCAAUAUGAAAAGAUGGAAACGGAAUUUUUUUAUGAGAUAUGAGUUGUAUUUUCUGUGGAGCAGUAGUAGAGGAUACUUCCCACGUUUUUUGAAACUGUGCGAUGGUUCAACAAUAGAGGCCUGACUCUCUUCGUAUUUUCUUAUCUAUGAAUAUUAUUUGAUUCUCUUGGUUAUAGGAUUUGGAAUGUGGGUUAUGUUUUAAUUAUCUUCUACACAUGUCCUAUUUUUAGGUUUGUGGUGGAUAUAGAAGUGGAGGAAUAAGGAUGUAUUUCGUAGCAUUCAUUGCUUGUUAAGCCAAUAAAUUAGCUGUUUUAAGUUGGAGUUAGCACAGAAUUUCCGAACUUAAUGUUCACCAAACUAUACUCAAAUGUAGAUAAAUAUUGAUUUUGGGUUAAACUGAAUGCAAAUGGAGCAGGGGUCUUGUGCAACUGGUGUGGAGUAUGGUUGAAGGAGCGGAGCUAUAUGCUUUAUUAUUUGGUCUCCGAAUAGCAUGAAAUAUGAGAAUUUAAUGGAUGCGGAGCUGCAUGCUGUAUUAUUUAGUCUCCGAAUAGUAUGGAAUAUAGGGAUCAAAUGGUUAAUGGUAGAAAUGGAUUCUAAAACUAACUUUAUUUAAUGGAAGCCGACAUAAAAAAGAAUUUACGUCAUACUAAUAUUUUGUAUCAAUCUCACCAACUGUUAUAUCUCAAUUAAUAUGUGAGAUUUAGACAUGUUUAUAAACAAGUAAAUUAUGUUGCGGAUGGACUAACUAAUCUAACAAUGACAUUUUUGGUGAUUUAAGAAAAUUUUCAAGCCCACCUAAAACUUUUGUAAAAUUAGUACAGACUAAUUUGUAUGUAUUCGUUAGAUGACAACCGCUUAAAAGGUGGUCCUUCUUAUAUAUCAAAAAAAAAAAAAAACAAUUUUUUAUUAUAAAAUUUUAAUAUUUUUAUUAUUUUAUUUUUUAAAUUAAGAAAUAUAAAAAAAUUUAUCAAUAUUAUUAUAAAUAUAUAUUUUUAUUUUUAAUUAAUUAUUUAUAUGAAUAAAUUUGAGUAGUGUGAAUUUAAUACAUAAAAUUUGAAUAUAAUCUAAAUUCGAAUAAAUUUAUGCUUUUGUUAAACAUUCGAUUCAUGAACGUUCCCAUAUUAUUUUUAUCAGAGCCGCUUUUCUUAUAUAUCAUAAGGUUUUAAAAUUUAAUAUGAGCAAUGUACAAUCCAUCUUUGGUUGUUUGUUUAAAAAAAGUAUUAUUUCAAUUUUUUUUUUUGAGAGAAAAACGUUUUUGAAAAUAAAAACCGUUUAGACCAGGCCAUUUUCUAAAUAAAAUUCGAUAACGUUGUGAACAAUAUUAUAUUAAAUAAGUAUAAAUUCAUAUAAUUCAACAUGAAAUAUUUUUCAAACAAAACAAUAUCUAAAAAUUGUAUUGAAUAAGAAAUGUGUGUCUAUAUACAAUAAUCAAAUAAGACUAGUUAAUUAAUUAUAUCAUAUUAUAUGUUGAUUUAUUAAUUAUUUUUUAAUUCAUUUAUAACACUUUUUUUAAUGGCAAUUAAUUUUAAAAAAUUUAAUAUUUGUAUUUUAAUUUAAAUGUUUUAAUUUUAGUUUAAUUAAUUUAACUUUUAUAUUUUAAUAUAAUUUUCAUUGAUCCGUAAAUUUUUAAAUUUGAUAGUUUAUAUAAUAAUUUGAGUACUUAAUUAAUAUGCUAUGUAUAUUAUUGCAAUUAUUUUUUAAUUAGUCAAUUGGUUGAAAAAAAAUUUAAAAUUUAUAUUCUUUUGUAUUUUAAUCUAAAUAUUUAAAUUUUAGUUAGAUUGUUUUAAUAUUUAUAUUGAGAUGUAAUUUUAGUUAAUUUUUAAAAUUAAAAUUAAAAAUAAAUAAUUUAAUUAUUAAAUAUAAAAUUUACAUCUUAAAUGAUAAUAAAUUUUAUUUUAUAAUAAUAAUAAUAAUAAAUAUUUUAUAAUAAAUAUAUUAUUUAAUUUAAAAUAAUAAAAUAUAUAAAAUAAUUAAAAAUAAUAUAUUUAUUAUAAAAUUUUUAUAAUUAUUAAUAUAAAAUAAAAUUUAUUUACUAUUAAAAUAAUAAAAAAUAUAUUUAAUAGUUAAAUUAUUAUUAUUUUUAAAAUUAAAUAUAUUAUUUAAUUAUAAUUAAAUAUAAAUUAAUAUUUUUUAUUUAUAGAAUUAAUUUAUAUUUAAAAAAUAAUAAAAUAUUUUAUUUGAUCUUUUAUAUUUUAAUUUUUAAAAAUUAAUUAAAAUAUAAAUGUUAGUCUAAUUAAACUAAAAUUUAAAUAUUUAAAUUACAACGUAAAAUAAUUAUAUUGAACGUUUUUAAUUAUUUAAUUAUUAAUUUAUAUAAAAAUAUUAAUAAUAAUAUACAUAAAAUACUAACUACACUAUUAAAUUUAAAAUUUUAAAAAUUAAUUAAAAUUAUAUCAAAAUAUAAAAAUUAAAUGAUUAAAUUAAAAUUAAAAUAUAAAUAGCGCAAACAAUUCGUUAAAUUUAAAUCAAUUCACCUUUUAUAAUUCGUAUCACGUCUUGGCCCAUAACCGACCAAUCUGUUUCGCAAAUAGAUUAUUAUUAUUUAUAUUUUCUUUAUUACAAUUUAUUUAAUUUAUGUAUUAACAUUACAUUGCUUUUCAAUUUCUUAUAUAAAAUAUUAUUUAGUUUAAUGUAUAAAUCUCAUAUAAUAUACUAUUUUUUAAAUAUUAAAAAUUUAAUUGUAUUAAAAUAGACCAACUCAAACAAACAAGUUGAUUUAUAAUUAAUUAGUUCAUUUUAUUAUAAUUUUAUUAAUAAAAUAUUUCUAAUUAUUAUUUUAACUGAACGAUUUAUAUUUACUAUUUUAUAAAUAAAAAUUAUUAUCAUAUAUUUAUAUUUAUAUAUUUAAUUAAUAUAUAUAUAUAUAUUAUUUUCCUUUAUUUUAUUUUAAUAUGCAAUAAAAUAUUAUAUUUUAUAACGGAUAGCAGCAACAAAUUUACUACAAUAAGUCCAUUAACUCAUAUAACUUAUAAAACUACCAAUCAGAAAAUAGUAAAUAUCGGAGUCUGAAUUUAAUAAAUUAUAUCUAUAAAAUUAUUAGACUGUCUAAAAACAUAAUGAAAGAAAAUAUAGUGUAAAUGAGAGAUUACGGCUAAUAUGAUAGUAAAUUCACACAUAAUGAAUGAGAAGCUAACUAUAGAACUGUUGCCAACACCAUAUGUUCUUCCCUGCCAAAGCAAACCAACACUAUAUCAAUAUAACAAUCCUAUGCACAACCUUUUCAUCCCAUUUGAAGUAACCACCGCAAUAAUAAUAGGUGAAAAUUAAUUUUCUAUACCAUAUCACAAUUGAGUUUGAUACUUCCUAUAGAAAAAUAGCUCAAAGUAAUGAUAGAAAACGGUCUGAAUGAAUGAAGAUAAGAGAAAUCAAAAAAAUAUCAUUUUAUUAUAGUUGUUUAAAAUUAACCGAAAUAUAUUACGAUAUAGUAAUAAAAUUAGACUGUAUCAUAUAUUUAUUUCAUUAUUUCUAUAUACAUUAAAUGGUGAGUGUGACUAAAGACCGAACAUGUGGACAUAAAAUUAGACUGUAUCAUGAUUACUAUGUUAUAUAAUAGGUUGUUUGCAUUAGAAUUCACGAAUAUGAUGCAUUGCAUAAUACGAUGAAAGUGAUGUGGAUGAAUCUUGAAUGAUCCUCUAGCCCUCAGUACGAUACGAUAUGACAUGGAAUGAGAUGAGAUAGAAAGACCAGGUCGCCCCUGGUACUAUGUUAUGUAAGCGAACACUAGGUGAGGCCUAAUCGCCCCUGGUGUAGUUGGACAUGUUAUGACAUGAGUUAUGUAAGCGAAUACCAGGUGUGGCCUCAUCGCCCCUGGUAUAGUUGGACAUAUUACGGUAUGUAGAGGGCUAUGGGUGACAAAUUCAUCAUUGAUGUGAUAUGUUUGUGAUGUGACGCAUUCCAUGAUAGCAUAUGUUAAAAUGAACUGUUUUCUUUUUAUGGUUUCUGCUCACUGGGCUUUUUAGCUCACCCCUCUCCCCUAACCCCAGGUUUGCAGGGUCAGAGAUAGUCAGGAGAUCAGCAGGUUACGUCCAUGGUCAUAUUUAUGUAAUAGAAUAGUAGUGGACAUGAUGUAAUGUAAAGUUAUGUAUUGAUGUAAAAAGAGUUGUAUUGCAUAAUGAUAUUAUGUUAUAUGUUCAGAGUUAUAGUAUUGUGCUUGGCCCGAGUUGGAUAAUCCCUUUGUACAUGAGUUUUAUUUUAUGUUGUUACAUGUGAUGGACCGAGUUUGACAUAGGGUAUGCUGACCCUAGAGGUUCUAUGAGUUCAGUCACAGUGCAUACACAGGUCAAACUGGUUAAAGGUAAAGUUUUAAAUGUUUUAUGGAUAUGUUUGAUCAUGUUUGGGAUUUUACCAGCUGUACAGGAUGCAUAGUAGGCUUGCUACGGGUCCCGGCAGCCUUAUGCCGAUCUGGAUCCUAGCGCCGGUAGCGGUCCGGAUUUUCGGGUCGUUAAAUAAAUAUUAAUAAUUACUAUUAAAUGAAAACAAUUUUUAUAAAGAUAAAUUAUUAAUUAAAAAUAAGAAACAAAUUUAAAAUUAAAAAUAAAAAAAUUUCAAUAGCUAAUUAAGUAAUUUUUUUUAAAUUAAAAUGAGAGCUCAAUCUUAUUAUUGAUAUCAAAAAAUAAUGCGUCAUAUAAAAAUAAAGAAGUACAUAUUCUAAAUAAGCUAAUUAAGUAAUUUUGAUAUAAAUAAUUUUAAAUAAAAUCAUUUUUUUACAAAAUUUUAAUAAUUUGAAAAGAUUUACUUUUAAUUCAAAAUUAAUUGUGAAUUCAAAUGAAUUGAAUUGAAUUCUUAUAUUAUUUACCAAAUACAAAAAUUUAAGAAAAAAAAAUUAUUUCUUUUAAAUUAUUUCAAAAUUUGGCAUUCCGAAUAAAGAUAUUAAGAUUUAUCAUUAUCAAUUUGUUAAUAUAUUUUAUUUUUUAAAUUAAAAUUAAAAAUAAAAAUAAAUUAUUUUAUUAAAAAUUUUAUUAAAAAUAUAUUUUAUAAAAAAUAUUUUCUAUUCGAAUAUUUUUUUAAAGACAAAUUUUAUAUACACAUAUUAAAAAUUAUAUUUUUUAAAUUUCAAAACAUAUGUAUAAUUUUUUUUAUUACAAAUUAAUUAUUUAAUCUAUUUAAAAAAAUAUCAAAACACAGUAGUUUUUAUAUUUAUCACUUAUCUUUUUGUCAUUCACCGUUUCGGAAGUUUCUAGAAAAAAAUUAAUCAAAAGGCUAACUUGUUAAUCUGUUGAAUUUCUUGUAAAAUUAAUCCGACGGGACAAAACAAGAGAAUAUGGUGACGAGGAUCCGAUUAUCGGGAUUUGGAUGCAAAAACAAACCAUUUCACCGAGGUCCUUGGUUUGUGGUUACUACAAUCUCCUUUCAGGUACUGACUUUAUCGCCCAGGCACUAAUAGUAUUUUUAUAUGGGAAAAGGCUGCUUUUUUCCCAAUAGAUACCCGAAAUGGCAUUGGAAGCAACGAAAAAUGAAUUGGAAAUUGUUCGGAACAAAGAUCGUUGGAAAUUCUGAACGUAAUGCGUUGCAAUUUGACAAUUCUUUCUUAAAAUUUAGAGAGAUUUAUAAUUUAAUUUUUAAGAAUUAUCAUUAUUAAUAAAUCAGUUUUUUCAUUUUUAAAAAUUUAUUAAAAUAUUUUUAUCUUUUUUUCCAUUAAUAAAAUAGUACUUUCAUCUAUUUUUACCGUUAAAAAUAUAAUAGAAUACCAAAUUAGCUCUCUUCUUUCUCUUUCUCCUGCAUUUAUUUCACAUUCUCUUUUUCUUUGAUUCUUCUUUUUAUUUGAUUUUUUUUCAAUUUUUUUUUAUUCUUAUGUUUUUAAGGAGGAGGAGAUUCUUCUUUUUCAUAUUCUCUUUUUUUUCUAUUUUUUUUUCUUAUUCUCCUUCAUCAUCAUCUCAUCAUUUUUUUUUCUUCUUAUUUAAGGAGAAGGAGGAGGAGAUUAUUUUUCUUCUUCUUUUUUUUCUUCAUCAUCAUCAUCAUCUUUUUUUUUUUUUUCUUUUUCUUCUUCUUUUUCUUCAUUAUCGUCAUAUUCUUCUCCUUCUUUUUUCUUCUUUUUCAGGAGGAGGAGAGACUAUUUCAUUGACGGAAAGAAACGAUAAGGACAUUUUAAUAGAUAUAAAAAAAGAUAAAGACAUUUUAAUAGAUAUGAAAAAAAAUAAGGACGUUUUAUAGAUUUCAAAAAAUAUAGAAACUGACUUGUUAAUAAUGACAAUAUCUAAAGACUAAAUCGAUUUUAUUUGAGAGUAAAAUUGGAGUUUAAAAAUUUUAUAUCUCAUUCUUUAUCUAAUUUUAACAGAAAAAAUGAUAGAAAAACUAUUUCGUUGGCCGAAAGAGAAAAUAAAGACGUUUUAAUAGGUUUUUAAAAAUGUAGAGACUGAUUUAUUAAUAAUGGCAAUACUCAGAGAUUAAAUUAUAAAUUUUCCUGAUAUUGAUGGGUGAAGAUGAACAAAAUUUAACUUCAUAAAUUCAAACUCUUAUAAAAGUGAUUGGGAUUAAAAAGUCUUUGCAUUGAACUUAUAUAGAUCCUGCAUUCCUAGGACUAUAUAAAUUUUUUUUUUAUUUUACAGUAUUAUUAUUUAUUUAUUUGAAAAUUUAAUAAAAUUAUAAUUAAUAUAAUUUCAUUAUAAAUACUCUAUAAAUAAUUAUAGAAAAUAAAUAUAUAUAAUUGAUUAAAAUUAUUAUAAUAAAAUAUUAAUUAUGAUAAAAAUAUAAAAUAAUUAAAAAAUUAAUAGAAUCACUGUAUAAAAUAUUAUUAAAUAAAAAAUUUAUUAAUUUAAAUAACUAUAAAACGUUAAUAAAUAUAAAUAAUUAAAAUAUUAUAAAAAAUAAAAUUCUAAUUCUAAUACUCUAAAUCAAUUAUUAUAAAUAUUAAACAACUAAGUUAUUAAAUUUAAAUUACUGUAAUUUAUUAUGUUAGUAAUGGUAAUAAUUUUAGUCUAUUCACUUUCUAAAAGUAUUAUAUUUAUUAUUCAUCUUAAUAUUAGCACAAUUUCUAUUUUAUGCACUCCUUCGCACAUCCCUCUAUUCUCUAUUUGAUGCACCGUUACACUAAUCUCACACUAAUCUCGAAAGUCAAUUCAUGGUUGUUAUUGUUGAAAUCAUUUAUAUUAUUACAAAGUAAUAUUCCCAUAAUUAAUAUAUGAAUAAAUUGACAUCACUAUUAUUGCCAACUUCGUUAAAAUUUAAUAAAUUUUAUUUUUUAAAAAAAAUUUUAACGAAUUUUAUUUUUUAAAAAUUUAUUAUUAUAUAUUAAUAAUAGUAAGUAUUAAAAUUUUUAAUUUACUUUGUUGCAAUUGAAUUUAAUAAUGUAAGGAUUUACACUUAAUUACUAUUUUGAGUUUAAAAUUUUAGAAAAAAUAUUUUAUUUUUAUUAGUAGAUAGAGUGAAUUUAUAAAAGAAAAAAAAAUAUUUUAUAAAAUAAUAUUAAUAUAAAAACUGCAAAAACAACUAGUUUCAAAAUAAAGCAAUUGUUUGAAGUGAGCUCAGGUACCAGAAUUAGGACAUAAAUUAGCGGUUAUAACAAGCCAUUUCUAACAUUUUUAAUAGCAGCAUGUUGAUUUGGAGAAACUGUAGGUGUGAAAAUUUCAAGGACAUUCAAAAAUCAGAUUCGAGUUUGUAAUUGCUUUAUUACACAGGUCCAGGCCAUCUUCCUUCCACCAACCAUAGAGCUUCCCUUUUUUUCCCCCAAAUUUGUGUUCUUAAGAAAAUUAUUUCCCAAAUCAGGCCGUCUGAUCUGGGAAAUAAACCAUCUGUUUCGCGUCAACUGUGUCGGACUUGAAUCUUUUGUAUUCAUCCACUUAAAAGCUAUUGAACUGAAGAAAGCAAGAUACGCAAGCAAACACAUGCGGAAGUGUAACAACCAUGUUAACAUAGGUAAAACUCUCCCAGAGAGAAAUUUAAACAUAGAGAAAUUUCACUGGCUAACUCACUUUCUCUUGACUAAGCCCUCUCUCACUACCAAGGAUCCAUUCAGUGGAGACGUUUCUUCGGCCGCUUUAGCAAAUUCCAUGAUGUUGGCUUGUAUCAUAGUAUCUAUCCUUCCACGGCCAUCCAACAAAACAUCAUCCUGGUCUCCUUGCUUGGAAACUUCAUUACUUGAGUUUGACAAUUUCAAGGGACCAUUCAAACUCACUAAAUCCUCUAAUUCAUCAGGAGGUAUCUGUGACUUCUCUAAGUUAUUUACAUCAGAAUCAAGUAAAGAUACAAAUCCCUUGCUUGAAGUUUGAUAAGUGGUACGCCUACUAGAAGCAUGUGAACCUACAGCGUUAAUACUGAACAGAAGUGACAGAUGAGAUAGGUUCAAACAUAUGAACCUC
rnacentral:lncRNA from 1 species